rnacentral:misc_RNA from 1 species
UUUCCGUAGGUGAACCUGCGGAAGGAUCAUUAUUGUAAAACCGAGGUGCGAGGGCUGUCGCUGACCCGAAAGGUCGUGCACGCCCGAGUGCCCUCACACACAUCCAUCUCACCCCUAUGUGCACCACCGCGUGGGUCCCCCUUUGGCUUGUUCGGAGGGGGGCUUACGUUUUCACACAAACUUUGUAUGCAGUGUAGAAUGUAUUUUUUGUUUUUGCGAUCACGCAAUCAAUACAACUUUCAACAACGGAUCUCUUGGCUCUC